UACGAAGGGGGCUAGCGUUGCUCGGAAUCACUGGGCGUAAAGGGCGCGUAGGCGGCGUUUUAAGUCGGGGGUGAAAGCCUGUGGCUCAACCACAGAAUGGCCUUCGAUACUGGGACGCUUGAGUAUGGUAGAGGUUGGUGGAACUGCGAGUGUAGAGGUGAAAUUCGUAGAUAUUCGCAAGAACACCGGUGGCGAAGGCGGCCAACUGGACCAUUACUGACGCUGAGGCGCGAAAGCGUGGGGAGCAAACAGGAUUAGAAACCCCGGUAGUCC
rnacentral:rRNA from 1 species